GCCGUGAUCGUAUAGUAGUCAGUACAUUGCGUUGUAGCCGAAAUAACCCAGGUUCCAAUCCUGCUCACGGCA
rnacentral:tRNA from 1 species